rnacentral:rRNA from 1 species
GACGAACGCUGGCGGCGUGCUUAACACAUGCAAGUCGAACGGUAAGGCCCUUCGGGGUACACGAGUGGCGAACGGGUGAGUAACACGUGGGUGAUCUGCCCUGCACUUCGGGAUAAGCCUGGGAAACUGGGUCUAAUACCGGAUAGGACCACUGCCUGCAUGGGUGGUGGUGGAAAGCUUUUGCGGUGUGGGAUGGGCCCGCGGCCUAUCGGCUUGUUGGUGGGGGAAUGGCCUACCAAGGCGACGACGGGUAGCCGGCCUGAGAGGGUGACCGGCCACACUGGGACUGAGAUACGGCCCAGACCCCUACGGGAGGCAGCAGUGGGGAAUAUUGCACAAUGGGCGCAAGCCUGAUGCAGCGACGCCGCGUGAGGGAUGACGGCCUUCGGGUUGUAAACCUCUUUCAGCACCGACGAAGCGCAAGUGACGGUAGGUGCAGAAGAAGGACCGGCCAACUACGUGCCAGCAGCCGCGGUAA